CAAUGUAUGAAGAAUGUGUUUUACAAACUGCUACCCUGGUGGUAUUGAUCAUUGCCACACAGGUUUGUGUAGCACAGCCUUCUACUCUGAAAUGUGAGGGCCUUGCAGAUUUCAAAAACAGACAUGCUGGGUGAAAGCUAAAACUAUAAUGUGCAGAAUUCCUAAGAGAAGUUUAUCGUGAGUUUAAAUGAGAGCUUACUUGUGUUAUUCUUAUUUUAUUGAUGCUCUAUAAUAAUCUAAAGCAAUUUUGAAAAUACAGUAAAUUUGAGUUUUUCUUCUCCGAUCUGCUGUCUGAAUGGCACAAGAGAAAAAUCAAUCCCGUGGAUGCCAAUGAUCGUCAGUUCUUUAGAGCAACCCUUGCUUCAGUGUAAUGGAGUCAUUCAUUAUCUGGUUUUUGGUCCAGAGUGUUCUCUUCUUUAUGUUACAGCUAAAGUCAGGACCUGAAUGGCAACACAGCUCAGCAGGGCAAAACAGCUUGCAAAUCUUAUUCUUAUUGUUUUAUGCUUUUGUUAUAAAGGAUUAUCAUUUGUUACCUUAUAUGAAAGCCCGCUCUGUGGCCACAGGUUCAGUUAGUAAAAUAAAGGGCUGGGAAUAAAAUUCACAUACACCUGUGGACAUCCAAACACAUUUUCAUCUUUCUGCAACGCAGAUAGUUUUCAUGAAGAUAGACUGUCUUAAGUAUAUUAAGGAGUCAAUUCAUUUUGACAUUAAAGUGAUAGACACAUUUUAAAAUAUUUUAUUUGCUGAUUUCCUUUGUUUCAGUGAAUGACAACUAGAGGUUGUUAACAAUAUUGGCAAUUGAUAUACUUUUUAUUAUUAUUCAGCCUCCACUAUAUGCUGAGCAUUGUAUGCUGUGUUCAACACAAACUCUCUCGCACACACAUACACACACACACACACAAACAAAACACAAAACCUGCAAAGGAGCUAUAAAUACGUACAUUUUACUUGUGAGGAAAUUAGGGCUGUGAGAGUUUAGGAAAAUAAAUUAUACCACUAUAUCUGUACAAUGAGUAUUACAAAGCCAUUAAAAAGCAGUGUUGUCGAUGAAUAUCUGAUAGCUUGGAAAUCUGUACACAGUUUACUGUGAACCAAGUGAAGCAGGUACCAACUCCCAUAUUCAGUAUAUCCAGUGCGGUACCACAUGUGGCUUUACACACACACGCACGCGCUACCACAGAAGAAGGGGUGGAAUGAUCCAGCCGGAACCGCACCGGUGAGAGGUGCGUCGUAGAGUUCUCGCUCACCCCUGCUCUGUGGUUGCAGGGUGUAAAGGAGCUGUGUCUGCUGCUGCUUAACCAGUCCCUCCUGCUUCCGUCUCUGAAACUUCUCCUCGAGAGCCAAGAUGGGCAUCUGCGCGAGAUGGCACUGGAGCAAAUCACGGCAGUCACUACGGUGAAUGAUUCCAAUUGUGACCAAGAACUUCUUUCCCUGCUCCUGGAUGCCAAGCUGCUGGUGAAGUGUGUCUCCACUCCCUUCUAUCCACGUAUCGUUGACCACCUCUUGGCCAGCCUCCAGCAAGGGCACUGGGAUGCAGAGGAGCUGGGCAGACACCUGCGGGAGGCCGGCCAUGAAGCCGAAGCCGGGUCUCUCCUUCUGGCCGUGAGGGGGACUCACCGGGCCUUGAGAACCUUCAGCACAGCCCUCCGCGCAGCACAGCACUGGGUAUGAGGGCCGCCUGUGGCCCUGCUCCUUAGCAGAAAAAGCAUCUGAAGUUGAAUGCUGUUCCCAGAAGCAACAUGUGUAUCUGCCGAUUGUUCUCCGUGGUUCCAACAAAUUGCAAAUAAAACUGUAUGGAAAAG
rnacentral:sRNA from 1 species